GGGUUAAGUCCCGCAACGAGCGCAACCCUUAAGCUUAGUUGCCAUCAUUAAGUUGGGCACUCUAAGUUGACUGCCGGUGACAAACCGGAGGAAGGUGGGGAUGACGUCAAAUCAUCAUGCCCCUUAUGAUUUGGGCUACACACGUGCUACAAUGGACAAUACAAAGGGCAGCGAAACCGCGAGGUCAAGCAAAUCCCAUAAAGUUGUUCUCAGUUCGGAUUGUAGUCUGCAACUCGACUACAUGAAGCUGGAAUCGCUAGUAAUCGUAGAUCAGCAUGCUACGGUGAAUACGUUCCCGGGUCUUGUACACACCGCCCGUCACACCACGAGAGUUUGUAACACCCGAAGCCGGUGGAGUAACCUUUUAGGAGCUAGCCGUCGAAGGUGGGACAAAUGAUUGGGGUGAAGUCGUAACAAGGUAGCCGUAUCGGAAGGUGCGGCUGGAUCACCUCCUUUCUAAGGA
rnacentral:rRNA from 2 species